UGUGUGGAGAAUGAAUGGACUGGGGGGGGAGGGAGGUUGAGAUUUUUUGUACUGUAGUUUCAAAUUGAAAUUGUUCCAGUAUAUUUUCUAUCUGUAUAAUUGUAUUUAUGGUUGAAAGGGGAUUUUUUAUUCCUGUGAAAUGCAACAUCUUUAAAGCACUAGGGACAUCAGCACUUUCUGAGUUUUCCACUUAUGGUCUGUACAGAUUGGUUAUGUAGUAUGUGAAGUGAAUUUGGUGCUUUUAACCCUAUAGCAGAAAACUUCUAUUGUCAUUGAUAUGUUAGUUUCUUGUGAGCCUUAAAUUAUUAAAUAUUGUAGAUACACUUCUUUAUAAAUAACUUUAUUAAUUACCUUGCUGUUUCAGAAUUUCUAAAUAAUUUAGUCCUGUGCUUCCUGUCCCCACUCAGAAAAAAAAUGUAUGCGCAGUUUGUGGGUUUUGUAGUUUUACAGGUUUAUAUCUAUCUUCAUUAGAUUUUUGAGACCCAAAGAGAAAGAAAUACUGUCUGCUGUUACUGGUUUUGAUCCAAGUGCACAACAGAGUAAAAACAUAAGGGAGUGGAUAGAUGCGAAAAGAGGGUAGAGUAUGAGUGCAAUAUCUACAAAACUAUUUUCAGUGUACACUCCAGAUUAUUUUGGCAUGUGUGUCAGUUACCUUUAUUCAUCCAUACCAUUUGUGUACACAGUUCACUGGUUUUAAUUAUCAUAGACUGGAAAUGGAUGGCACUUGAAAGAGUCUAACAUGGCAUGCCGUGCUCUUAAAUAACCAUUGCGUGGCUUAUAUCUUGGACUUGGAUGGAAAGCAUCACCUUUCAUCAAAACACAUCCUUGUUUUCUUUUUAUUUCCAAACAAAACCUUUUCAGUGCUGUGGAUUUUACAGUUAAGAUAUUGUUGAAAGACAAAUGACAGCUUACCUUCAUCAUCAUAACGCAGCACUGUACAGCUUACUAGUGAAGACCGACACAAAGUUGCUUCUUUAACUCAAAAAGCUGUGUUAUUGUUUUUCUUGCAAAGGACUCUGUUUUCCCCUGAAACUUCUGUUUUAUUACUGAAGGAUGUUUCAUGCCUUCACCACAUGCAGUGGCAGAGCAAGACUAGCAGAAAGAGAAGUCUUGAUUGUCAACGCUCAAGAGUGACCUGGAGCUUGUGCAGUAACGGUGUUCUCCAGAUGGCUUUCCACAGCAUCGUCUUCCUUAACACCAGUGAGCCACGAGACUGAGACAGAAAUUCCAGUGUGGGGAGGGUGUGAGUCAUGAGAUGAUCCUGACCAUCAGGAAGAAACUGACUCAGAGACUGAAACUGAACCCAUUUGUUCUUUGUUCUCAAGCCGUCUUGGGUUAGAAGUUGCUGAAAAAUUUUCUCCUGCAAAAUUAACUGUGAAGUCCCCAUUAAGCAUAUGUCUUAGUGAGCUGGAUUUCAUCAUUCAGAUUGUUGAAAAUCUGUUCUGCUUGGAGUUUUCUUUUGUAGAGGAACUGUUCAGCACUACAAAAGGAGUGUGCAGGGGUCCCUUGAAAGUUUGAAUGCUUUGAACUCACUCACAAGCACAAGAAGACUUUACUGCUUGAGAUUUUAUUUGGAAAUACAUGAGUUCUUGUCAUAGAUUGAGCAUCAUCUACCAUGGUUCUUACAUA